UACGGAGGGUGCAAGCGUUAAUCGGAAUUACUGGGCGUAAAGCGCACGUAGGCGGUUUGUUAAGUUAGAUGUGAAAGCCCCGGGCUCAACCUGGGAAUUGCAUUUAAUACUGACGAGCUAGAAUACGGGAGAGGGGGGUAGAAUUCCAAGUGUAGCGGUGAAAUGCGUAGAGAUUUGGAGGAAUACCAGUGGCGAAGGCGGCCCCCUGGCCCGAUAUUGACGCUGAGGUGCGAAAGCGUGGGGAGCAAAC
rnacentral:rRNA from 1 species